UUCCAUAACAUUCUAUACCACUUUGUAAACUCUAUGGUGAUAAUGUAACCAAGUUUCAGGAACAGUUACGCAAACAAAGUUUACGAAUAUCACAUAUGAACUCAGUUCAGUGGCGGGUUGAUUAUGUUAUCAGUUCGAAAUCAUUAAAGACAGUAAACAAACCAAAUGUACAGAUAUGUUUAAAAGUUGUAAACCCAGACACAGAAAACGCAAAACCAGUUGUAUUUAAUAUGUCUGCAGAAAAAUUUCGUGUUUUUCUAAAUGAACUAAAACAAGUUGAUACCAUAAUGGACAACCUGAAUUCAUCAUAACAAAUAAUGUACAGCUGUCUUCUUGGCAAAUGAAUUCUCUGCAGAAACAGUUCAGACUUGGUGCUCUUAGGAAAACUCUGAAUAGAUAACACAAACUCCUUUUUCCUUUCCCCAAUCUCAAUAGGCUUAAUUCAGAAAUCAUCUGAUUCACAGUUGUAUUUUUUUCCUGUCCUUAGGUAAGGCAUGAAUUUCACAACUUUUGUAUGGUUAAGGCUGACCAAUGAUUACAGAAUCUAUUUGGCAUAUUUAGUAGAGGUUAUUGACAAGAUGGUACACCAACAUUCUUCAGAGAUACAUGAACAUCACAACCUCCUUACCUGCAUUAAAAUCAAUUAUUAUUUAUAUUAUCAAACAUUGCACUAUACACACUAUACUACCUUUUUACAUUCUGGAUGAUGCCAUUUUGUUUAUGCUACCAAAGAUUUUAGUAAAGGCAUAAACAUCAUAAACCUAUCACCAGCUGUGCAUGAUUGACCUUAGUCUUCAGUUUAGUUUCAGUUUUAUGCAGAAAGUACUUAACCUACUUUGCUAAUAUAUCUAAAUGUCACAACUUCCUAUCUCUCCAUUCUAAAUAUGAACUCUGACUGACUUUUAAUACUAGAGGGAUUAAACUGGCCAU